CUGAACCAUCCGCGGUGAGAGGGAGGGGGUGUAAGAGGAUGGAGCUCUCAUCUAACAGACCAGGAAGGAAGUCUUGGCCAGAUAACAUCUCAUCUCGAUAAAUAAAGAAGUGGCAAUAAUGUAGAUGUAUUGCUUAGCGAUAGGGAAGCAGCAUCCAGAAGAAUUAAACACUGUAGAUGCUAAAAACUCAGACUUGCUCCAAGGUUUAAGUCAAAGGAAAAGUUUGAAUUGAAGACAGGAGGGAGCAGCAGGAUCCUGGCUCUCACAGUCCCGUGUUCAGCACCAGGUGGCCUUUGCUCUUAUCAUGCAGCCUGAGGAGGACCAGGUGGGCAAUCCAACAGGAUGAACCGGCAUGCAGCUAAGAUUUCCUGAAUGAUUGCAAGACUUCUUCCUGCAAUGGGAAGUGAACAGAGACCCUGGGAAGUAUCUUGAGCAUAUAUGAAACCUCAAAGGCCACCACCACAGUGACACACUUCCUCUAAU
rnacentral:lncRNA from 1 species